CCAUUUUGACCAACUUUGACGUCCCUGGAUGUCUAUAAUCGAGCACCCGCUUGCUGUCAGAUUACUAUUAUGUACUAUUUAAAAAACACGAGCGGGAAAAUGCUUUAUUAGAUAUAAAACUAAACGAGAAAAUCAAGGCUAAAUAAAGUUUAUGUAAAUGAACAUGAUUUUUAUCAUAUAUAAAACCACCGAGACGGCAGUGAUUUCUUUCGUCUUUCUC
rnacentral:lncRNA from 1 species